AACCAGUAACCUAUUUGAUGAAGUCUUGUAUAGAAAGCUGUUACCAGUGCCCUUUUCCAUGUUGUCGCUGUCCUUGAACAUAGAUCUCUCAAGGAUAAGGUCUUGUCAUUAUAAGACAUGGCUGAUACUAUCACUGUUGCAGUGGUGGAGAGGAUAGAGAUAACGAAGAGAGCAAUAAAGAAAGCCAUUUGCACUGCCAGAAGAAGGGAAAAAUCUUCUCUGAGAUGUUCUCCUUGGGCUAGAAGCUGGGAUGGAUCAGGCAUAAAAGAGGUAUUAUUUGGUAUAAAAGGGCUCUGAUCAAGUGAAAACGAGCUGGGAUCUGGCAUGAAAGAAUUCAUUAAAGUUACAGCCAUAUCAUUAGUUAAGGAUUUGAAGGAGAAGUUGAAUGACAAGAACAGGAUAGAAUUUAGGACUAGGGAAAGUAUAAAUAUUAAUGAGAAGAGCUUCCCGUUUUUCGAGAGAAGCUUUAUAGAUUCCUUUAGAAUCACCAAGAAACUGAAAAAUUCAUAGAAUUCCAUGACACCUUGAUUAGAGUUUAGAGCUAUAAACAACCUUG
rnacentral:lncRNA from 1 species